AUUGAACGCUGACGGCAGGCUUAACACAUGCAAGUCGAGCGGAGUGAUGGUGCUUGCACUAUCACUUAGCGGCGGACGGGUGAGUAAUGCUUAGGAAUCUGCCUAUUAGUGGGGGACAACAUCUCGAAAGGGAUGCUAAUACCGCAUACGUCCUACGGGAGAAAGCAGGGGAUCACUUGUGACCUUGCGCUAAUAGAUGAGCCUAAGGCGGAUUAGCGAGUUGGUGGGGUAAAGGCCUACCAAGGCGACGAUCUGUAGCGGGUCUGAGAGGAUGAUCCGCCACACUGGGACUGAGACACGGCCCAGACUCCUACGGGAGGCAGCAGUGGGGAAUAUUGGACAAUGGGGGGAACCCUGAUCCAGCCAUGCCGCGUGUGUGAAGAAGGCCUUAUGGUUGUAAAGCACUUUAAGCGAGGAGGAGGCUCUUUUGGUUAAUACCCAAGAUGAGUGGACGUUACUCGCAGAAUAAGCACCGGCUAACUCUGUGCCAGCCGCCGCCGUAAUAC
rnacentral:rRNA from 1 species